rnacentral:rRNA from 1 species
AUUGAACGCUGGCGGCAGGCCUAACACAUGCAAGUCGAACGAGUGGCGGACGGGUGAGUAAUGUCUGGGAAACUGCCUGAUUGAGGGGGAUAACUACUGGAAACGUUAUCUCAUUCCGCAUACCCUCGGAUGUGCCCAGAUGGGAUUAGCUAGUAGGUGGGGUCAAGGGUAACCUAGGCGACGAUCCCUAGCUGGUCUGAGAGGAUGACCUGCCACACUGGAACUGUGACAAGGUCAAAGCUCCUAUGAGAGGCGCCAGUGGAGAAGAUUGCACAAUGGGCGAAAGCCUGAUGCAGCGAUGCCGCGUGUGGGAGGAAGGACAUCGGGUUGUAAAGCACUUUCAGUGGGUCGGCGUUCCACUUAGAAGAAGAACCGGCUAACUCCGUGCCAGCAGCCGCGGUAAUUC